rnacentral:tRNA from 1 species
CCCUUGAUAGCUCAGUUGGCAGAGCGGAGGACUGUAGAUGUAAAAUGGUAAUGCUUAGGUCGCUGGUUCAAAUCCGGCUCGAUGGA